GUGUAGUCUCUGUAGAGGAAAGAGGAGGGCCAUUCCAUUUAAUGUACACACCUGCUAUGGACGAGAAUUUCUGAGGGGGUUUGAAAAAGUCAUUUCUGAGGCGUUGGUGCAUCGGUAUCCUUUGAUCUUUGCGUUUCUUCUGAGGGGUAAGGCAAAAAUAUCUUAAUUUCUGGAAGGGUGUUUGUGUCGGCACUUUGAUCUUUUUUUCUUAGGGGUUCACAUUUUAUUGACCUCGUCCAUAGAGGGGGGGGGGGGGUGUACAUUAAAUGGAAUGGCCCGGACCCAGCUACCCUGAAGUGAACAAGUAAACACACUUACCACCUAGGAAAGCAAUACCAAAGAUUGGAGACAUAAUUAUUUCAUCAGCAAGCACUUUUUUAAGUACCAUUGAAUGAAUGUUACCGACUAUCACUUUGUCCAAGGCAACGUACCAAUAAUGAACUACUGGACUUAAUAAACCACCAACAAUCACCAUAUCCAAUGUCCGUCGAAAAUUGUAAGGCUUCAUUUUUAAAUUGCAUUUUUUAUUGUGUUUAAUAUUGUACCGCUCUCUUUGCUGUUCAAUAAAGUCACCAAGACCGAACAAACUAGCGAAGGUUACAGAGUUUGCAAUGAAACUGUAUCGUAUAAAGAAAUUUUUUAAUAUCAUUCAUACGACCACACUUGCAGCAAUAGCAGCAUAACUAAAUUUCUCUAAAAUAGUAAAAUCGUGCACUGGUAAAAAUAUAUUGUAGAUUUGUAGUGGUAACAUAAGGAUAGUAGAGAAUUGUAGUGAUAACGUAGGGAGAGUAGAGGACAUUGGUGCACGAAGUGAAGAGCCCUCUGGGAAGAGCCUGGGGGUUUUGAGCUAUGGUUUUGAGUGGCACGAGGAUUUCAGCGCGCCAUAGUUACUUAAUACUCGCUGGGGCUCUGUGCCCAGGCAAG